UCAUUAGCGAGUUUUCAACUCCCAACCCUUGCGAACCGUACCCCGUUCUGUUCUCGUUGCUUCUGGCGGGAGGGGGGGCGCGUCCUUCUGGGCGCGCCUCUCUCCCAGGUCCCUUCGGGGCGCCCGCCAGCGGCCGCGAGCCGCCUGAACUUUAUUCAAACCGUAACUAAAACGUCUGAGAAACAAACAAAAACAGCCAAAACUUUCAACAACGGAUCUCUUGGCUCUGGCAUCGAUGAAGAACGCAGCGAAAUGCGAUACGUAAUGCGAAUUGCAGAAUUCAGCGAGUCAUCGAAUCUUUGAACGCACAUUGCGCCCGCCAGCAUUCUGGCGGGCAUGCCUGUCCGAGCGUCAUUUCCCCCCUCAGCACGCCCUUCUUGCAAGGGAGCGCUGGCGUUGGGGCUCCUCCGCCCUCUGUGGCGGCAGGGCCCUCAAAUCCAGUGGCGGGCCCGGCUGGUUGGCUCCGAGCGCAGUACCGAACGCAAGUUCUCUCUCUCGCUCUGCAGCCCCGGCCGGCGCCCUGCCGUCAAGCCGCGCAGGCGAACCCUCUCGGGGGCCGCCUCGCACUUUUUACAAGGUUGA
rnacentral:rRNA from 1 species